rnacentral:rRNA from 1 species
CGGUUGAUCCUNNCGGACCUGACUGCUAUCGGAUUGAUANNNAGCCAUGCGAGUCAUUGUAGUAAUACAAGGCAGACGGCUCAGUAACGCGUAGUCAACCUACCCUAUGGACGGGGAUAACCUCGGGAAACUGAGAAUAAUACCCGAUAGAACAUUAUGCCUGGAAUGGUUUAUGUUUCAAAUAAUUUAUUGCCGUAGGAUGGGACUGCGGCCUAUCAGUUUGUUGGUGAGGUAAUGGCCCACCAAGACUAUUACAGGUACGGGCUCUGAGAGGAGUAGCCCGGAGAUGGGUACUGAGACACGGACCCAGGCCCUAUGGGGCGCAGCAGGCGAGAAAACUUUGCAAUGUGCGAAAGCACGACAAGGUUAAUCCGAGUGGUUUCUGCUAAAGGAACCUUUUGUCAGUCCUAGAAACACUGAUGAAUAAGGGGUGGGCAAGUUCUGGUGUCAGCCGCCGCGGUAAAACCAGCACCUCAAGUGGUCAGGAUGAUUAUUGGGCCUAAAGCAUCCGUAGCCUGCUUUGUAAGUUUUCGGUUAAAUCCAUAUGCUCAACAUAUGGGCUGCCGGGAAUACUGCAAAGCUAGGGAGUGGGAGAGGUAGACGGUACUCGGUAGGAAGGGGUAAAAUCCUUUGAUCUAUUGAUGACCACCUGUGGCGAAGGCGGUCUACCAGAACACGUCCGACGGUGAGGGAUGAAAGCUGGGGGAGCAAACCGGAUUAGAUACCCGGGUAGUCCCAGCUGUAAACUAUGCAAACUCAGUGAUGCAUUGGCUUGAUGCCAAUGCAGUGCUGCAGGGAAGCCGUUAAGUUUGCCGCCUGGGAAGUACGUACGCAAGUAUGAAACUUAAAGGAAUUGGCGG